GAUGAAGAACGUAGCGAAAUGCGAUAAGUAAUGUGAAUUGCAGAAUUCAGUGAAUCAUCGAAUCUUUGAACGCACAUUGCGCCCUUUGGUAUUCCGAAGGGCAUGCCUGUUCGAGCGUCAUUUCACCACUCAAGCCUGGCUUGGUAUUGGGCGCCGCGGUCGAUCCGCGCGCCUCAAAGUCUCCGGCUGAGCUGUCCGUCUCUAAGCGUUGUGAUUUCAUUAAUCGCUUCGGAGUGCGGGCGGCCGCGGCCGUUAAAUCUUUCACAAGGUUGACCUCGGAUCAGGUAGGGAUACCCACUGAACUUAAGCAUAUCAAUAAGCGGAGGA
rnacentral:misc_RNA from 1 species